CUUUCAUCCGUGGUUUCCCUUUAGGUAAUCAGUGGCCAGAGAGCUGGUGGGGAGGACCCAGAGGGGCUGGGCAGGCGGCAUAUGGAGAGAUUAGACCCCACGUCAAGCAUGUUGUCUUAGCGGGUCACUUAAAGUCCAACGAGUACUUGUUUAUUUUGGUUGCUCCUUGUAAACCGUGGUGAGAUGGUCACGAAGAUAAUCGGGCUCUUCUCCCCUCUCCCCCACACGCUACUCCGCUUCACCGCGCCCUCUCCUUCUCCCUGUCCAUGAACAAGGCUCUUUUCAUCUGAUCCGAAUGCUUCUGGAUGAAUACAUUCUCCUGGCCAUGGAGACUCAGUUUAAUAAUGACAAAGAGCAAGAGUUACAGAAUUUAUUGGACAAGUAUAUGAAGAAUGCAGAUGCAAGUAAAGCUGCCUUCACUGCCUCCCCAAGUUCCUGCUUCUUGGCCAGCCGCAGUAGGGGAAGCUCAGUUUCUAGUGAGGCAGUGAAGAACGAAAGCCACGUGGAGACAGCCUGCCUUCCCCUGCCUUCUGGCCAGGCUGGAGGCCUGCCCCCUGCUCUGCAGCCCUUCCCUGCUGGGGCCCCGGACAGCAUGCAGCUCUCAGGUCCAAUGGAGCUUCCACAGAGCAGUGGUCCCCUGAUGACACCGCCCAUUUCCCCAGCCCUGGCCAGCCGAGGAAGUGUAAUUAACCAGGGCCCGAUGGCAGAGGGGCCCCCGAGUGUGGGUGCUGGGCUCCCGGUGCCCUCUCACUGCUCCUCGUACCCCGAGGCCAUUUACCCUGCCCUCCCCCAGGCCUCCCAUGACUUCUACGGGCCCAGCUCCAGCUACCAGACUAUGUUCAGGGCCCAGCCCCAUACCCCCCCAGGACUCUGCCCUCGUGCAGAGCAUGGCCGCUACAUGGCGUGGACAGAACAGCAGCUCUCCCGAGACUUCUUUGGUGGCAGCUGUGCUGGGUCUCCGUACAAUUCCCGGCCACCCUCCAGCUACGGGCCAUCUCCGCAUGCCCAGGAGUCACACAGCAUGCAGUUCGUCAACACAGGAAGCUUCAACUUCCUGAGCAACGCUGGGACUGCCAGUUGCCAAGGCGCGACACUGCCUUCUAAUUCACCCAACGGGUACUAUGGAAGCAACAUCAGCUACCCAGAGCCUCACAGGCUGGGACCCAUGGUGAACCAGCACGUCUCUGUCAUCAGCAGUGUGCGCUCCUUGCCUGCCUACAGCGACAUCCAUGACCCACUUAACAUCUUGGAUGAUGGCAGCAGGAAGCAGACUGGCUCCUUCUACACAGACACAUCAACUCCAGCUUCCAACUUGCAAACCCCAAUUCCUUCCUCUUCAUCCCAGUGUAUGUAUGGGACUUCCAACCAGUAUCCGGGGCAAGAGGCCCUGGACUCUCAUGGAGCAAGCAGUAGAGAGAUUGUGUCCUCUUUACCACCCAUCAACACUGUGUUUAUGGGAACAGCAGCCGGAGGCACCUAAACCAACCAUAUCAAGUGGAGUUGAGAUUUUAAACACCUCUGCAGUGCAGUUCACUCAGACUUCGAUGGAAUUGAGGAACAUGGUGGACUCAGCAGGCAGCUGGACAUUGUCCUUUGUGUCAUUCUGAAUAUUGAGGUAUCCUUGCACACAUUUUUUGCCUCUAAACUCCACAGUGGAUGGAGAUGCUUGUGGUUGCCUUGACACACAUAGUUUAAAAUGUUAUCUCCUUGUUAAUCAUAGUUUUAAACACUAUCAAAGCAGUGGAGAUUUAAGAUGUAAACAUUUCAACUACAAGGAUUUACUAUUUUGCUCUUUAAUUUAUUGAAAAUCUGUAUGUUCCUUCCUCUUUGGUCUCUAAAAAAGAAAAAAGAGUGUAUUUAAUGUCUUUACAAUACCUUUAAUUUAUUAGGCUCUGAGAAUCAUUGUUUACUAUCUCUUGCUUGUUUGACCAAAAGUCAGAAGUGUAUGUUCUACCUCCUGUGGAAAUGUUUACAACGUCCACUUAAUUGGUUUCACCCCAGAGCAAAGUGGCUUGACUCUCAAUUCCUGGACACAAGUGGGAUGAUUCGUGUUACAUAGCAGUAGCCUAAUUCUGUGUAACUAAACAGAGAUGGCAAUGUUUUCCCUGUAUUUAAAAAGGUGAGAAUAAAUAAAAUAAAUAAUGUAUGGAAAUAUUUUUUAAAGUCUUGGUUGCUCUUGGCUGGUAUUGUUUCUGAAGGAAGCUGAGGA
rnacentral:lncRNA from 1 species